GAUAUGGAAAAAGGAAAACAAAAUACCAAUAACGUGAGAGCAGGGAGAGCACUAACAUCAACUGAGGUUUGAUAAGUGCCAGAUUAUGGGGAUGACUCAGAACCUUUUUUUUCCUAGGACUAAUUUCCUUUCUCCACACCCCCGUCAACUGAAAAAUCUGUUUUCACUGGGGCCAAGAAUUCACAUGCAAUCAAACUGAUGUGGGUCCUACAGCUCCUUAACUGGAAGAAGUGCCUGGCGGGUGAUGGAGGAAGCAUUUCUGGACCCCCACCCGGAUGACAGCCAGAGGUCAGGCUGCCUGCCCGUCUGGAUAACUCUAGCCUCACCUGUGAAAUGUUGGAUCCUCAACUGUGGUUGUUGUAUCUUUCCUCCACAAGCUGGGUAAGCACAGCAUCAAUGGAUUAUGUGUCUAUCAGGUCUUAGCCACUCCUGGUGUGUUCUGCUCGUCCACAGAGAAUUGUUCCUCUCCAAAAUAUCAAGAGAAAGAAGCCUAGAGAUUUACUUGGGUCAGUAUCUUCUAUGAGUGAAGAUAAAAUUUCCUGGUGAGCUUCUGGACUGUCUAGAUCAGGGAUUGGAAAUUUUUUUCUGUAAAGGACCAGACAGGUAAUCUUUUAGACACUGCGGGCCAUAUGGUCUCUUUUGCAGCAGUUCACCUCUCCCCUUUCUUGUCAGUUUUAUACAGGUAAAAAAAUCUGUUUAAGGUGAGUAUUAAAGGCAGGUGAUAAAUGGUAGUGAUGACAUAAACAUUAGGAAGUGCAGGGGCUAGGAAGAAUUGUCGGAGGGGAGGAAGAAACCAAAAAACAUGCAGCUUUGCCCUCAAGAAACUGAUAAUAUUAGAGGGAAAUAAGACGUAACAGAGGCAACCGUAAUGGUGGGUGGAAUAUCAUGUACGUCAGAGGCAUAAACGAGAUGGGAUUUCGCGUUCAGGGUAACUGAAUUUUGUAGCCUGGCUGCAGUUGUAUUUUAGAGGCUGCAGCAGCUGUCUGUCUUCUUCCCACUCAGAGCAUCACCUGCUUGGCUAGAUCCCCCAGCGAUGGUUAUGGUUCCAGGGCCUUCAAACUCUAUGUGAGAAGUGGAACAAAAUACUUUGAUAUUCCCUUGUCAAAAAUAAAAAUCUGGUAACUAAAAAAAAAAAAUGGAAACGUAAUGACACUGCUGAGGUUUAAGAGAAGUCAGCUCUAGCUUCGUUAACUUCACAUCUAGGUUAUAGUGACACGAUACAAAGUGAAAGAGGAGAUGAAAAGCCCAAGAAGAGGACAACAAUAUUUUCAUUUGUGCCAUGGAAGCCCUUUCACAUUAGCUGUGUGAUUUGGGGCAAGCCAUUUUAACUCUCUCUCGGCCUCAGUGUCCUUACCUGGAAAGUCACAGCAAGUUUGCUGUGAGGAUAAAAUAAAAUAAUAUGCAUGAAAGCACGUUUAAAACUGUAAAGGAUUAAAUAAGGGUUUGGUAUUAUCAUCAUCAUUAUCAUCAGGCUGCUUCUCUUGGGGGAACGGAUAGGGCUACUACUGCUUAGAUUCAAUCUUAUAAACUUCUUUUGUGCCUACCUUGUUCUCUCUGAUGCUCUAAUGCUUCCUGUUGCUUCCUAUUUUCAGACAGAAGAGCAUUUGAUCAUGGAAGCAAGCAUGUGGGUGCAUUAAAUUAUUAUUAAAAUGAGACCGUAUUACUGUUAUUCUAAUAAAAACAUAACAUCUCCGUUAAUGGUUUAGGAUAACUAAUGCUGUUCUAUGUAUUGUUAUUUUCGCUGGAACAAGAUAGACACCUGGGAGAGUAUCUAUGCCUCGGAAAUACUGUUUAAGCUUCAAGUAGAUCUAAAUUAUGAUCAAAAUGUGGACAAAGAGCAACGGAGAUCUGAGUCCUUUUUUUCUCUCUGUAUUAUAGUAUGACAUGUGCAAUGUUAUACUAAAAGAAUGCCAUUUUCCCUGUUGCCCCACCCUCAAAACCUCUUAAACAUUCAUUCAUUCUUCUGGAUUUUUAAAAAGGUUGGGAGAAGUGAACACCUUCCAAUCCCCUUUGCUUACUUUUAACUCAUAUUUACGCCUCUUCCCCACUAACUGGAAAUUGACAGCCAGAGGUCAGAAGAAUAGAACCCAAGCAAAGGUGUCAUUCAUUGCCUGCCAUUGAGAGCUGAGUGCAAGUAUCUUGAAAAUCUCAGUGAAUGAUACAAACGAAAGGCCCUUACAAUAAGGACUGUUAUAAAGAAGCUUCAUAGGUAUCUUGGGAGGCUUCCUUAUUUUUAUGGUCACACGUUGGCGAUCAAAUUGAUAUGCAAACAUCAAGUAUCUUGGCCAUGAGGCAUAUGGGAGUCAGGAAACCUGGAAUCUAAUUUCAGUUCUGCCAUUAUCAAGCUCAUUAAAAUUCUUGACGACAUUUUGCCACAAACUGUUCCAUCUGAGCCAAGCUGAAGGGUGGGACUGGUCGUGAGUGAUCUCUGACAGGCGGGAAACCAACAGUUCUCAGCCUUGGCUGCUCAUUAGUAUCUCCUGAGAAGCUUAUAAACGUCCUGACGCCCAGGUUACACCUGGGACCAGUUCAGUCAGACCCCCUGCAGGUGGGACCUUGACAGGCUCUCCAGGUGAUUACAAUGUGUGGCUCCAGUCAAAGACUACGGGUUGCAGGAUAAAAGCAGGGAAAGCGGCUGUAAAGCUUUGUCUAUGUGGAAGAAAUGAAGAGGGAGAGCAUAGUCCUGCCUGGUACUAGAUGGUUAAGUCAACUAAGUGAGAGCAUGGACAAGUGUGACCUACAGAAUCCUCUGAGGGAGAGGGACCCAUCAGAGGCCAGCAUGGGGAUCAAGGAAGGUAUCGUGAAGCCUGAUAGAUUCCUUUGGCUUGUGUUUGCUGACUCCAGUCUCAUUUUGAUGUGGCCCAGGCUUGCUUCUUGUUGCUUCUGCUUCUAUCUUUCUAAAACUCAUAUUUGGCAAAAAUAGUUGGAUUUCUGUUUUUCAGUGGUCAGUAGAGGCACUAUUAACUUGAUAUUAUCAUUCGACUAUGUUAAAACACUGUGUGUGUAAAAUAUAUUCACGUCUAUUUCGUUGCCUUCACUUAUGAGAACUUAGAAGUCUUCUCUUCUCCAUUUAAUCAAAACAUACUUGUUUUUCAAGCAUCAGCUUAAGGCCUACCUUCUCUAUUCUAUCCCUUGUUAAUCUUAUUUCCAGACCCUUAUGACAUUCCUAAUGGAUAAUAAGUAAUUAAACAUUCAAUACCAUCUUAUAUUGUUUGCCUAAACAAUCUCCUUAAAGUCUGGUCUUCCUAAAAGCUUAUUGGAGACUCUAGCUUAGCAUACAUUUAUCCCUCCUUAAGCCUUGUGUAAUAAAGGUGUUCUGUAAGUAUAAGAUCAUUUUGGUUGCCUGUUUUCCUAGCGCCUAUUUAUCAUUCUUAAAGGGACAUGACUACAGGCACCCAUACUAUUCUAGUCAUGGCUACAGAAAGGUUCUAUCCAAGGUUUUGUUUCUAAUAGUCCUUUAAAGGCACUCUCAUACUCUGGUUACAGCAGUGAAUUACUUUUGGGCAGAAGGAUUCUGGGAAAACUGCACAGUCUGUGGUAGCCUGUUGGUGCGCCUGCUCUACAUGAAAGAUGCCAGCUCAUCAGCAACUGUGGACAACCACUCACUUAUGCUAAAGCAACUCGUAGAACCCUGGCUGCUCUUAGGAAAUCCUGGGCUCAGCUCUCCCUGAAUACUUUACAGCAGCACGGCUGAAUAGAACGUUCUGCAGUGAGGAAAUGUUCUGCCCAGUAUAGAUGAUGGAAAUGUAGCCAGUGUGACUGAAGAACUCGAUUUUUAAUUGUAUUUUAAUGACAUUUAAAUCUAAACAGCUAUACGUGUCUAGCGGCUACUGUAUUGGACAAUGCAGCGGUAGAGAGACUGAGGGUCAAAUGAACAGCAGCUUUAAGAGACUAAGAUGCAUUUGUUGUCAUGUAACAAAACCCAGCAGUUGCUUUUUUUGAAUAAAUCCCUCAUAUUAACUUUUUAA